rnacentral:rRNA from 1 species
AGAGUUUGAUCCUGGCUCAGGAUGAACGCUAGCGGCAGGCCUAAUACAUGCAAGUCGAACGGUGUCUUCGGACAUAGUGGCGCACGGGUGCGUAACACGUAUGCAACCUACCUUACAUUGGGGGAUAGCCUUUCGAAAGGGAGAUUAAUACCGCAUAAGACAGUAACUUGGCAUCAAGUAGCUGUUAAAGAUUUAUCGAUGUAAGCUGGGCAUGCGUCCAAUUAGCUAGUUGGUGAGGUAAUGGCUCACCAAGGCUAUGAUUGGUAGGGGAACUGAGAGGUCAAUCCCCCACACUGGCACUGAGAUACGGGCCAGACUCCUACGGGAGGCAGCAGUAGGGAAUAUUGGGCAAUGGACGCAAGUCUGACCCAGCCAUGCCGCGUGCAGGAUGAAGGCGUUAUGCGUUGUAAACUGCUUUUAUACAGGAAGAAACGACUCUUGCGAGAGGCAUUGACGGUACUGUAUGAAUAAGCACCGGCUAACUCCGUGCCAGCAGCCGCGGUAAUACGGAGGGUGCAAGCGUUGUCCGGAUUUAUUGGGUUUAAAGGGUGCGCAGGUGGUUUAUUAAGUCAGUGGUGAAAGACGGUCGCUCAACGAUUGCAGUGCCAUUGAAACUGGUAGACUUGAGUAAAGUAGAGGUGGGCGGAAUUGAUAGUGUAGCGGUGAAAUGCAUAGAUAUUAUCAAGAACUCCAAUUGCGUANGCAGCUCACUUGGCUUUUACUGACACUCAUGCACGAAAGUGUGGGUAUCAAACAGGAUUAGAUACCCUGGUAGUCCACACUGUAAACGAUGAUAACU